UGGGGAAUCUUAGACAAUGGGCGCAAGCCUGAUCUAGCCAUGCCGCGUGGGUGAUGAAGGCCUUAGGGUCGUAAAGCCCUUCCGCCGGGGAAGAUAAUGCCGGUACCCGGUAAAGAAACCCCGGCUAACUCCGUGCCAGCAGCCGCGGUAAUACGGAGGGGGUUAGCGUUGUUCGGAAUGACUGGGCGUAAAGCGCGCGUAGGCGGGCUGGAAAGUCAGAGGUGAAAGCCCGGGGCUCAACCCCGGAAUGGCCUUUGAAACUCCCAGCCUUGAGUUCGAGAGAGGUGAGUGGAAUUCCGAGUGUAGAGGUGAAAUUCGUAGAUAUUCGGAGGAACACCAGUGGCGAAGGCGGCUCACUGGCUCGACACUGACGCUGAGGUGCGAAAGCGUGGGGAGCAAA
rnacentral:rRNA from 1 species